UUUUACUCAAGCAAAUAAUCCCACUAAAGCUCAUGUGAGUAAACAGAACACUAAAAGGUCUUGAAAGACCUCGGACUGAAGCAAGAGAAUGAAGUUUGUCAAAUCAAUGCAGGAGAAUAUGGUUCUGAAAGCACUACAUCAAAUACUAUCUUUAUGACAGAAACAUCACCGGUUAAGUACAGCCAAACAGAGAUGUUUAUGUAUCAAAUAGCCCUUGGCAUGACAGAACUACUGGGCUUUGGACAUAUUUAUUUUCUGCAGUACAAGGGCAACAGAUGCACAGAAGAUGAAGUGAAGUGACUCCUUCAAGCUCCCUCAGCAAGUCAGCGGCAGGUACAGGAAGAGCGUCCACCUCCCAAAUCCUAGUCCAGUGCCCUAUUCACUGUAACACACAGCCUUUGGGAGUCAUCAAUUUUUCACCUGCUCAUGACUGGGAAUGAAUGAAAUGGCAGUGUGGUAUACCCAGGUUAAAAUUAGCUAAUACCCUACAUCAGUGGUUCUCAACCUGUUUAAAUUCGAGACACCCCUCUAUAACUUUUGUGAACUGAACGGUACCCCAUUUCAAAAACAAAUUUGGUAUUGCAGCAUUAUCUCCUUGUAAAGGGCCCAGGAGCAGCCAGGCAGGGAGAACCUGAGUUUAUUUCUUCACAAUUGCUUAUCUUCUCAAACCUCAUAACACCCUUCAAAAGAUCCUAUGGCAACCUAGCUAAGAAUCACUGCCCUACCUUACUAUCAGUCACUGAUUCCAGCCUCUCCCUGGAUCUGGCAAUACACUAACCCAGCCUAACUCUUCCUAGCUUUCCACUGUCUGUCUUCUCUAAUUUCCUCCCAGGAAUCAUUUCUUGUAACAAUGUCUUCCCUCAUAUUGUCUGCCAAUUAUUUCUGUGGUCUCGCUCUGGGCCUCAUUGUCAGCCCUCCAUGGUACCCUAUUCUUAUGUAUAUAUCACAUGCCCAGACCACAUCAGCCCUCAUUUUUCUAAGCUAGUUCCCCAUGCUAAUUUGUUUGCUUAAAAUAAUCAUAUGGCACAAGUAUAUCUCUGUUAUUUCUGUGCUCUUGUAAAACCAGCUGCAUUUGAAACUUAGAAUGUGCAUUAUUAAAAAGCAGAGACGUAUUGGGCAAGUAAAAGCAACUAAAUACUUUGGAAGAGAUUAAAUAAUUCUCUCUACUUCUUUCAGGUUCCACAGUAAGGUUCAUACUUCCAUAGGGUCCUUGGGACUGAUGUUUUUCUUUGGUAUAUCAGUUUAUCAGUGUUUGCAAUGGGAGCUCUUCCAGAUUCACAUCAGACUCAGAAGAGAACUGGCCCCGUCAGACAUUUCUACUUCAGCUGUGGAAAAUUAUAGUAGCAGUCAUACUAAUGAAUACUGCGAGAUUUUAUAAUGCAAUGGUAUAAAGACCAUUAGCACAGGGGUUUGUUUCAGACACCCUCUGCUGCAAUAACAUUUUUCUUCAAAAUUUGCCAAUGAAAUUUUCCCAGUCAUUCUAUUUUAACUUUGUUUCACUAAAUAUGAGAGUGAUGAACCACGGAAAGUUCACAGCACUGUUAAAAUGUACAUCUGCUAGCUCAAAAGCUGUUCUAAGACUUGAACAAUUUCCACUCAGGGUGAAAACAGACGUUGCCUUUGUGAUGCCACAAGCAUUUUUAUGGCAGCACAAAGGCCAUGAAAAUCCCUUGCUUGAUAUUUGUUGCCAUGCCCCUCGUUAUACCACAAAUGCACAAAAUCUGUGGCCACAACAAAAGUGGCAUCAAUUUGUGCCACUAUUUAGGGGGGCGGUGUCUAUUUGCUUUAUGGUGCAAGAGCAUGGGCAGCCUGGAGCUGCGCAUAUUCUCCAGCUGCCCUGGGAAGUUGCUCUGGAGCUUGAGGGGCCUGAUCCGAAGCAACCCAGGAAUUCUAAUGCAGGAUCAGGCCCGUCAAGCCCCAGAAGCACCUGACCACCUUUCCCUUCUUACCCUUCACUACUGCCUAUCAUUCUUAUAAGUCUUCAUGAUUUCCUCUGUAUCUAAAUGCAGAGGCCCAGCAGGAGUACUGUUCUACCCGUUGAGCUCCCAUAUUAAAUCCUUCUCCUAGUCCCUAGGUUAAGACGGGAUAUCAUUAUGGAUGGCACUGCAAAUUAUGUCUGUAGCAGUCAAAGUGAUAGGGAAUGCAGAGAAACACCUCUGAGCUGGGGAGCACUGUUCUCUCCACUUUCAUGGGUUAGCAGGUUAGAGUGCAACUCUGCCACAGUCCAAGCAUAAGAUCGCUGUGAUGAGCCAAGUGGCAACAGAUGUUCCACUGCUCAGAAUCUGGCUGGGUCUGCAUGGGGAACAGUACAAGGACAAAGCUGCAUAAGCAGCAAUCUCCCAUCUGACUGCCACAGCCCUGCUCGCUCUUCUCCUCCUCCUCGCCCAAUAAAGAUUCCAGUCGGUGGGCAGGAAGAAGGGACAGAGGUGUAAUUGGAUUCUUGAAUGCCUGCAGUGGCAGCAACGCAUAAGACAGCAUUAAGUGGCUGUACUGUUGGGGGUGUGGCAGUGGCCAGCCUGGCAAUGCAGUUGCUGCUAUUUUUGCACACCCACUGCCAGGGGCUAGUGCCUCAGAACCCGCCCCACCCCCAUUCAUUGCACUACUGAGUGGAGCAGGCUAGCUUCCUUCCCUGCAGCAUGGAGGCUUUUUUUUCUCCCUCUGUUCAGUAUCAGGGAAGGAAGACUAUAUCAAAGUUACCAUAACAGGUUCCCCAAAGACCUAUGGGCUAGAUUUUGGCCACAGUUCUUUCUUAUUUCUAAUGUAUUCAGUGGGAGUUUUUCCUCCU